GUCAGGAUGGCCGAGUGGUCUAAGGCGCCAGACUCAAGUUGCAACUUCCCAUGGGUGGGAAUUCUGGUCUCCGACUGGAGGCGUGGGUUCGAAUCCCACUUCUGACA
rnacentral:tRNA from 1 species